AUCUGAUGUUGCGGGUAUCUCAUGCACAAUUUGUUGAAUCUCUCCCAAUACUCAUAUAAGGUCUCUCCCGGCUGCUGCUUUAAACCACAUAUUUCCUUUUUCAAACU